GACGAACGCUGGCGGCGUGCUUAACACAUGCAAGUCGAACGGUAAGGCCCUUCGGGGUACACGAGUGGCGAACGGGUGAGUAACACGUGGGUGAUCUGCCCUGCACUUCGGGAUAAGCCUGGGAAACUGGGUCUAAUACCGGAUAGGACCACUGCCUGCAUGGGUGGUGGUGGAAAGCUUUUGCGGUGUGGGAUGGGCCCGCGGCCUAUCAGCUUGUUGGUGGGGUGAUGGCCUACCAAGGCGACGACGGGUAGCCGGCCUGAGAGGGUGACCGGCCACACUGGGACUGAGAUAUGGCCCAGACUCCUACGGGAGGCAGCAGUGGGAAUAUUGCACAAUGGGCGCAAGCCUGAUGCAGCGACGCCGCGUGAGGGAUGACGGCCUUCGGGUUGUAAACCUCUUUCAGCACCGACGAAGCGCAAGUGACGGUAGGUGCAGAAGAAGGACCGGCCAACUACGUGCCAGCCGCCGCAGUAAAAC
rnacentral:rRNA from 1 species